UUAGACUGGAAUACCCACAUGGAAACAUUGGUUAAUGCCGGAUGCGCAUGAGAUCGCAUGAUCAAGGUGUGAAAGGGGCCUCUAAAGCCCCACUAAGAGAUGAGGGUGCGGAACAUUAGCUAGUUGGYAAGGUAAUGGCUUACCACGGCUAUSAUGUUUAGCCGGGUCGAGAGACUGAACGGCCACAUUGGGACUGAGAUACGGCCCAMACUCCUACGGGAGGCAGCAGUAGGGAAUAUUCCACAAUGAGCGAAAGCUUGAUGSAGCGACACASCGUGCMCGAUGACGGUCUUCGGUUUGUAAAGCGCUGUUAUUUGGGAAGAACAGUUAGCWGAGGAAAUGCUUCUAAGCUGACGGUACCUUGUCAGAAAGCGAUGGCUAACUAUGUGCCAGCAGCCGCGGUAAUACAUAGGUCGCAAGCGUUAUCCGGAAUUAUUGGGCGUAAAGCGUUCGUAGGCUGUUUGUUAAGUCUGGAGUCAAAGCCCGGGGCUCAACCCCGGUCCGCUUUGGAUACUGGCAAACUAGAGUUAGAUAGAGGUAAGCGGAAUUCCAUGUGAAGCGGUGAAAUGCGUAGAUAUAAUGGAAGAACACCAAAGGCGAAGGCAGCUUACUGGGUCUAUACUGACGCUGAGGGACGAAAGCGUGGGGAGCAAACAGGAUUAGAUACCCUGGUAGUCCACGCCGUAACGAUGAUCAUUAGUCGGUGGAGAAUUCACUGACGCAGCUAACGCAUUAAAUGAUCCGCCUGAGUAGUAUGCUCGCAAGAGUGAAACCUAAAGGUAUUGACGUGGACCCGCACAAGCGGUGGAGCAUGUGGUAUAAUUUGGAGAUACACG
rnacentral:rRNA from 1 species